rnacentral:rRNA from 1 species
AGGGAUCAUUACAGAGUUGCAAAACUCCCAGACCACUGUGAACUUUACCAGCCGUUGCUUCGGCGGGCCGGCCCUACGGCCGCGCGAGCCCCUCCGGGGCGCCCGCCGGAGGUACCCAAACCAAUGACGUUUUGCAUGGCCUCUCUGAGCAACUGUACUAAAGUCAAAACUUUCAGCAACGGAUCUCUUGGUUCUGGCACCGAUGAAGAACGCAGCGAAAUGCGAUAAGUAAUGUGAAUUGCAGAAUUCAGUGAACCAUCGAAUCUUUGAACGCACAUUGCGCCCGCCAGCAUCCUGGCGGGCAUGCCUGUUCGAGCGUCAUUUCGACCAUCAAGCCGGAGGCUUGUGUUGGGGACCUGCGGCUGCCCGCAGGCCCUGAAAACCAGUGGCGGGGCCCGCUGGCACUCCGAGCGCAGUAUUCACCUGCCUCGCUCAGGGCGUGCCGCGGGUUUGUUCCCAGCCGUCAAACCGCAAUAUUCGCAAGGUUGACCUCGGAUCAGGUAGGAGGACCCGCUGAACUUAAGCAUAUCAAUAAGCGGAGGAAAAGAAACCAACAGGGAUUGCCCUAGUAACGGCGAGUGAAGCGGCAACAGCUCAAAUUUGAAAUCUGGCUCCGGCCCGAGUUGUAAUUUGCAGAGGAAGCUUCUGGCGCGGCACCUUCCGAGUCCCCUGGAACGGGGCGCCACAGAGGGUGAGAGCCCCGUAUGGUUGGACGCCUAGCCUGUGUGAAGCUCCUUCGACGAGUCGAGUAGUUUGGGAAUGCUGCUCAAAAUGGGAGGUAAAUUCCUCCUAAAGCUAAAUACCGGCCAGAGACCGAUAGCGCACAAGUAGAGUGAUCGAAAGAUGAAAAGCACUUUGAAAAGAGGGUUAAACAGCACGUGAAAUUGUUGAAAGGGAAGCGCCUGUGACCAGACUUGCGCCGGGCUGAUCAUCCGGUGUUCUCACCGGUGCACUCGGCCCGGCUCAGGCCAGCAUCGGUUCUCGCGGGGGGAUAAAGGCCCUGGGAACGUAGCUCCUCCGGGAGUGUUAUAGCCUGGGGCGUAAUGCCCUUGCGGGGACCGAGGUUCGCGCUCCGCAAGGAUGCUGGCGUAAUGGUCACCAGCGACC